UACGAAGGGGGGCUAGCGUUGCUCGGAAUUACUGGGCGUAAAGGGAGCGUAGGCGGGUUAUCAAGUUGGGGGUGAAAGCCCGGGGCUCAACCUCGGAAUUGCCUUCAAAACUGAUAACCUGGAGUAUGGAAGAGGUAAGUGGAACUCCGAGUGUAGAGGUGAAAUUCGUAGAUAUUCGGAAGAACACCAGUGGCGAAGGCGACUUACUGGUCCAUUACUGACGCUGAGGCUCGAAAGCGUGGGAAGCAAACAGG
rnacentral:rRNA from 1 species